GAGAGGGGGAGCAGUGGAGAUGAACGACGGAGCUUGAAGCGCCCGUUAGCUACGGUGGGCUGAACGGUUGAGGAAGGGAGAAUGCCGACGGUUAUUGUCGAGGGAAGUUGGUGAGUCCUUGUGAAGAAGAAGACAUGGGGUGUUGAGAGGAAAGAAAGAUCAAGAAGAAGGUGGGAAGAAGAGGCCGAAAACUGAGAGGGCACGACCUGACCUGACCCCACCCACCUGUACUGAACCGAAACCCCAUUUGUUUUCCCAUUUCACACCAUCUGAUUUGUCUUUAUUCAGAUUUAGGUACUUGACUCACACAUUCCAUAAAUGCCUUAUUAUAGGAAAAUUUCAAGCUUAGUUAAGGGGACACUUGAAGACUCAAUAAAGUUUUAGGAAGUCUACGAGUAGGUAAGUAACCAUCUAGAGCAAGUUUUUAUGUAAUUUCUUGUAGGAGUCGGUUUGGAUUUGUGGCCAAACAAUUUAGUAACGUAUUUAGGAAUGGGUAAAGUUAGUUCAUGGAGGUGGUACUUCGAUAAUGUGUGUGGUUGUACUUUGGUUGUUGUUAUGGUUAUAUAGUUUCGUUGGCAUGAAUGUGAAAUUUCG